UCGGGUCGACGACGUUUUUCUUUUCAGGAAAAAAGGUGUGUGUGUAAAAUCCAAACAUAGAAUUUCCCAGUCGCUACUGAAGUGCGGAAAAGCUGAAACCAGACACCACACACACACACAUACAUACAAACAGAUACAUUUUACUCA